UUUCUUCUCUACUUCCUGCAAACUAUUUCUUUAAUAUGCAAUUAUAAAUGUAUGUCAGUGGGGAGCUUUGUUAUUAAAUACAAUUAAAACUAACCUAAUGCCAGGACGUCUGUGUGGUUCAGGUCACAAUCCCAGGGUCCUGGGAUCGAGUCCCACAUCAGGCUCCCUGCAGGGAACCUGCCUCUCCCUCUGCCUAUGUCUCUGUCUGUCUCUCUCUGUGUGUCUCUUAUGUAUGAAUGAAUGAAUGAAUGAAUAAAUAAAUAAAUCUUAAAUAGAAAUUAACCUAAUGCCUUUUUAAGUUUAAUCCUUUCCUAAACCAUACCAAAGCACAGACCAGAAGACCACGUUGGUCUAAGGCCACUCCCGCCCCCCAGAAAGGAGUUAUGCCACAAGUCUCCCAUCUCUUUGAGCCCUGAUCUGGGGAAUAGCUAUGACUAAUCUAGCCAAAUAACAUUGUGGGGUAAACCAGCUUCCAUCCUCUGGCCUGAGAACCUAGCCUCCAUUUACGGUAUUGUUCCCAUGGGAAAAUGAAUUCCAAAUUCCAAACAACUGAUUUGUACAUGAACUUUCACUCUGGAGGUUAGGAACUGCCAAAAUGUAUUCUCUUGUGGCUCAGUCUCCUGACAGCUUCCCAUGAGUCGUGUCCCCUGUCUCCCUCCACAUGUCCCACCACUCCUGUAUACACGCUGGACCCUCAUAUGGCUCCUCUACUGUGAAGCCUCCCUUGAACCCCUGGAUCCUUGGGCCUGGGCUACAUUGCUACUGUGUUCGGCCUGUGUUGUAGAAAAAUGUCCACAAGGGUCCUGACCUCUUAUAGGAUCUUCAGAUCCUUGAGGGUGAAAUGCACCUAGCUUUGGACCUAACAUAUAACGCAUGCUCAGUAGAUAACCCUGAAAUGGACUGAAAAUCCCCUGCUAUGAUGAUUUCCAUGCGGCCUCCUUUCCUUCGGUCUUCUGGCCACUGAAGCACACUCUCCCAAGCUCCCUGAUGCAUGAGGCUGAGGGAACCAGGCAAAUGGCAGGAUUAGCUCCCUGGGGAACUGUCAUCUGGUGUCUCAGGGUUCUUAUAUUUGAAAGGCUGAAGUUCAGCUGCUGUAACAAAGACCCCCAAGUAACAGGGACUAAAACAAGGCAACGGGACACCCACUUCUGGGCAGCAGCCACCUCAGUUUUUCCAGAUGGGUGGGUGUCCAGGAAGUACCCACCGAGGCGCCUCCAGCAGAAUGAGUCACUCACUGGUAAAAUGGCAAAAGAAUGUAUUUGCCGAAACCACAGAGACAUUUUGCCCAGGAUCUGGAAGCCUGGGGCUUUUCCGAUGCUGCUUUGGUGUUGUUUGGCACUGGCCAAGGUGACCCACUGCAGCGGCCCAGAGAAGGUUUCCUGUCCCUUAAAGAGCCCUUUGGGUAACAGAACAUGGCUGGGAACGGUUCACCCACCAAGGGUGCUCCCCUGCACUUGAAAGGGUCGACAGAAAUGGAAUCCCUUUUAAAUCCUCAAUCCCACCCUCUUCUACAUCAGCAGAACCCAUUGCUUUUUUUUUUUUUUUUUUUAAAGAUUUUACCUUUAAAUAAUCUCUAUCCCCAAGGUGAGGCUCAAACUCACAACUAGGAAGUCAAGAGUCCCGGGCUCCUCUAACUGAGCCUGCCAGGUGCCACUCCCCACCCUAUUGCCUUCUGGAUAAAUGAGCAGCUUCAGAGCCUCUACUGAGUCAAGAAGCUUGCUUGCUUGCUUUAUUUAUUGGAAUUUUUUAUUUAUUUAAGAUUUUAUUUAUUUAUUCUUGAGAGACACACACACACUGAGGUAGAGACAGGCAGAGGGAGAAGGAGGCUCCCUGAGGGGAGCCCAAUGUGGGACUCAAUCCCAGGACCUGGAGAUGGCACCCUAAGGCUAAGGCCAUCAGUGGCUCAACAGCUGAGCCACCCAGGUACCCCCUCCCAUUGCAAUUUUGAUUUGCAUUUCUCCCAUGGAUGAUGAUGUCAAGCCUCUUUUCAUGUGCUUAUUGGCCAUUUGGAUGUCUUCUUUUGAGAAAUAUCGAUUCAGAUCCUUUGCCCAUUUGUCAACUGGUUUGUCUUUUUGUUGUUGAGUUAUAAGAGUUCUUUGUAUUCUGGGGGCUCCUGGCUGGCUUAGUCAGGAGAGCAUGUGACUCUGACCUUAAGGUUGUGAGUUCGAGCCCCACAUUGGGUAUACAGAUUACUUAAAAUUUUUUUUAAAGUUCUUUAUAUUCUGGAUAUUAGACUCUUAUCAGCCAUGUUAUCUGCCAAGUAUUUUCUCCCAUUUUGUAACUUUUUUCACUUUUUUAAAAAAGUAUUUUAUUUUUAAGUUAUUUCCACCCUCAACAUGGGGCUGGAACUCACAGCCUUGAGGUCAAGAGUCACAUACUCCACCUACUGAGCCAGCUAGUCACCCCUCACUUUUUUGAUAGUGUUUUUUGAAAUACAAAAAUUUCUGGUUUUGAUAAA
rnacentral:lncRNA from 12 species